rnacentral:rRNA from 1 species
AACGAACGCUGGCGGCAGGCUUAACACAUGCAAGUCGAACGCGUGUAGCAAUACACGAGUGGCGCACGGGUGAGUAACGCGUGGAUAUCUGCCUUUUGGUUCGGAAUAACUCCGGGAAACUGGAGCUAAUACCGGAUGGUUCCUACGGGAUAAAGAUUUAUCGCCAAAAGAUGAGUCCGCGUACGAUUAGCUAGUUGGUGAGGUAAUGGCUCACCAAGGCGACGAUCGUUAGCUGGUCUGAGAGGACGAUCAGCCACACUGGGACUGAGACACGGCCCAGACUCCUACGGGAGGCAGCAGUGGGGAAUAUUGGACAAUGGGGGCAACCCUGAUCCAGCCAUGCCGCGUGAGUGAUGAAGGCCUUCGGUUGUAAAGCUCUUUUGGCGGGGACGAUGAUGACGGUACCCGCAGAAUAAGCCCCGGCUAACUUCGUGCCAGCAGCCGCGGUAAU